CCUACGGGAUGCUGCAGUGAGGAAUAUUGGUCAAUGGACGAGAGUCUGAACCAGCCAAGUAGCGUGAAGGAUGACUGCCCUAUGGGUUGUAAACUUCUUUUAUAUGGGAAUAAAAUGUUCCACGUGUGGGAUUUUGUAUGUACCAUAUGAAUAAGGAUCGGCUAACUCCGUGCCAGCAGCCGCGGUAAUACGGAGGAUCCGAGCGUUAUCCGGAUUUAUUGGGUUUAAAGGGAGCGUAGGUGGAAUGUUAAGUCAGUUGUGAAAGUUUGCGGCUCAACCGUAAAAUUGCAGUUGAAACUGGCAGUCUGGAGUACAGUAGAGGUGGGCGGAAUUCGUGGUGUAGCGGUGAAAUGCUUAGAUAUCACGAAGAACUCCGAUUGCGAAGGCAGCUCACUGGACUGCAACUGACACUGAGGCUCGAAAGUGUGGGUAUCAAACAGGAUUAGAUACCCCAGUAGUC
rnacentral:rRNA from 1 species